rnacentral:rRNA from 1 species
UACGUAGGGGGCAAGCGUUGUCCGGAAUCAUUGGGCGUAAAGAGCGCGUAGGCGGUCCGGUAAGUCGGUUGUGAAAACUGGGGGCUCAACCCUCAGAGGCCGACCGAUACUGCCGGGCUAGAGUCCGGAAGAGGCGAGUGGAAUUCCUGGUGUAGCGGUGAAAUGCGCAGAUAUCAGGAGGAACACCGGUGGCGAAGGCGGGUCUCUGGGCCGAUACUGACGCUGAGGAGCGAAAGCGUGGGGAGCGAACAGG